rnacentral:rRNA from 1 species
GGGGAAUCUUGCACAAUGGGGGAAACCCUGAUGCAGCGACGCCGCGUGAGUGAUGAAGCCCUUCGGGGUGUAAAGCUCUUUCGACGGGGACGAUUAUGACGGUACCCGGAGAAGAAGCUGCGGCUAACUACGUGCCAGCAGCCGCGGUAAUACGUAGGCAGCAAGCGUUGUUCGGAAUUACUGGGCGUAAAGGGUGCGUAGGCGGUUUGGCCAGUCUGGUGUGAAAUCUCCCGGCUUAACUGGGAGGGUGCGCCGGAUACUGCCAAGCUAGAGUGUGGGAGAGGAAAGUGGAAUUCCUGGUGUAGCGGUGAAAUGCGUAGAUAUCAGGAGGAACACCUGCGGUGUAGACGGCUUUCUGGACCACUACUGACGCUGAUGCACGAAAGCGUGGGGAGCAAAC